GUCGUGGCCCGACAACGUUGAGCCGCCCAAUCGAGGGGGCCUUGCCGCCCGUUUCCCGGAGCCCCGCCUCUCGCCGCCGCGCCCCCGCCCGCCGGUCUCCUCCCUCCUCCUCCUCCCGUUUGCCCCUCCCCCGCCGCUCCGGAGCGGAGCCUGCGAGACGGAGAAACUGGGGCAGAAGUGAAGAUGGCGGCGUCGGCUUCUCGCUAGUGACGCGCGGUGCGGGCUCAUCUCCUUCCCCUCCUUCCUCACCUCCCCUAGUCCGGACCCCGUCCGCCGCCGGGACCAGACCGUCCCCGUAGCCCGCAGCCAGCAGCCGCCCCUCUCCUCCCCCGGCCGCCCCUCUCCCAACGCCCGUCUGCCGCUGGCCGGCGGCGCGCCCCUGGUCCCGGCCGCCUGUCUCGCACUCCGCGCUGUCGCCGGGGGAGCGGGUGGCGUGUGGAUUCGCCCUCCUGCCCGCCCCUCCGGGCCGCGGACACACGCCCGGCAGGGAGGCGGCGGCGGCCCCUGCGUAUUUGCUUCCCUCCAUUUGGGGACUGGGAGGCGGCGGCGGCUGUGGGUUUUGGGGAGGGGUAGAGGGCUGGGGGGCGGGCGAGAGCGGGAGGGGGCCGCCCUCGAGAGGAGGACGAGAAGGAAAGCACCAUGACGUCCAUCCAUUUCGUGGUUCACCCGCUGCCGGGCACCGAGGACCAGCUCAAUGACAGGUUACGAGAAGUUUCUGAGAAGCUGAACAAAUAUAAUUUAAACAGCCACCCCCCUUUGAAUGUAUUGGAACAGGCUACUAUUAAACAGUGUGUGGUGGGACCAAAUCAUGCUGCCUUUCUUCUUGAGGAUGGUAGAGUUUGCAGGAUUGGUUUUUCAGUACAGCCAGACAGAUUGGAAUUGGGUAAACCUGAUAAUAAUGAUGGGUCAAAGUUGAACAGCAACUCGGGGGCAGGGAGGACGUCAAGGCCUGGUAGGACAAGCGACUCUCCAUGGUUUCUCUCAGGUUCUGAGACUCUAGGCAGGCUGGCAGGCAACACCUUAGGAAGCCGCUGGAGUUCUGGAGUGGGUGGAAGUGGUGGAGGAUCCUCUGGUAGGUCGUCAGCUGGAGCUCGAGAUUCCCGCCGGCAGACUCGAGUUAUUCGGACAGGACGGGAUCGAGGGUCUGGGCUUUUGGGCAGUCAGCCCCAGCCAGUUAUUCCAGCAUCUGUCAUUCCAGAGGAGCUGAUUUCACAGGCCCAAGUUGUUUUACAAGGCAAAUCCAGAAGUGUCAUUAUUCGAGAACUUCAGAGAACAAAUCUUGAUGUGAACCUUGCUGUAAAUAAUUUACUUAGCCGGGAUGAUGAAGAUGGAGAUGAUGGGGAUGAUACAGCCAGCGAAUCUUAUUUGCCUGGAGAGGAUCUUAUGUCUCUCCUUGAUGCCGACAUUCAUUCUGCCCACCCAAGUGUCAUUAUUGAUGCGGAUGCCAUGUUUUCUGAAGACAUUAGCUAUUUUGGUUACCCUUCUUUUCGUCGUUCAUCACUUUCCAGGCUAGGCUCAUCUCGAGUUCUCCUUCUUCCCUUAGAGAGAGACUCUGAGCUGUUGCGUGAACGUGAAUCCGUUUUACGUUUACGUGAACGAAGGUGGCUUGAUGGAGCCUCAUUUGAUAAUGAAAGGGGUUCUACCAGCAAGGAAGGAGAGCCAAACUUGGAUAAGAAGAAUACACCUGUUCAAAGUCCAGUAUCUCUAGGAGAAGAUUUGCAGUGGUGGCCUGAUAAGGAUGGAACAAAAUUCAUCUGUAUUGGGGCUUUGUAUUCUGAACUUCUGGCUGUCAGCAGUAAAGGAGAACUUUAUCAGUGGAAAUGGAGUGAAUCUGAGCCUUACAGAAAUGCCCAGAAUCCUUCAUUACAUCAUCCACGAGCAACAUUUUUGGGGUUAACCAAUGAAAAGAUAGUCCUCCUGUCUGCAAAUAGCAUAAGAGCAACUGUAGCUACAGAAAAUAACAAGGUUGCUACAUGGGUGGAUGAAACUUUAAGUUCUGUGGCUUCUAAAUUAGAGCACACUGCUCAGACUUACUCUGAACUUCAAGGAGAGCGGAUAGUUUCUUUACAUUGCUGUGCCCUUUACACCUGCGCUCAGCUGGAAAACAGUUUAUAUUGGUGGGGUGUAGUUCCUUUUAGUCAAAGGAAGAAAAUGUUAGAGAAAGCUAGAGCAAAAAAUAAAAAGCCUAAAUCCAGUGCUGGUAUUUCUUCAAUGCCGAACAUCACUGUUGGUACCCAGGUAUGCUUGAGAAAUAAUCCUCUUUAUCAUGCUGGAGCAGUUGCAUUUUCAAUUAGUGCUGGGAUUCCUAAAGUUGGUGUCUUAAUGGAGUCAGUUUGGAAUAUGAAUGACAGCUGUAGAUUUCAACUUAGAUCUCCUGAAAGCUUGAAAAACAUGGAAAAAGCUAGCAAAACUACUGAAGCUAAGCCUGAAAGUAAGCAGGAGCCAGUGAAAACAGAAAUGGGUCCUCCACCAUCUCCAGCAUCCACGUGUAGUGAUGCAUCCUCAAUUGCCAGCAGUGCAUCAAUGCCAUACAAACGACGACGGUCAACCCCUGCACCAAAAGAAGAGGAAAAGGUGAAUGAAGAGCAGUGGUCUCUUCGGGAAGUGGUUUUUGUGGAAGAUGUCAAGAAUGUUCCUGUUGGCAAGGUGCUAAAAGUAGAUGGUGCCUAUGUUGCUGUAAAAUUUCCAGGAACCUCCAGUAAUACUAACUGUCAGAACAGCUCUGGUCCAGAUGCUGACCCUUCUUCUCUCCUGCAGGAUUGUAGGUUACUUAGAAUUGAUGAAUUGCAGGUUGUCAAAACUGGUGGAACACCGAAGGUUCCCGACUGUUUCCAAAGGACUCCUAAAAAGCUUUGUAUACCUGAAAAAACAGAAAUAUUAGCAGUGAAUGUAGAUUCCAAAGGUGUUCAUGCUGUUCUGAAGACUGGAAAUUGGGUACGAUACUGUAUCUUUGAUCUUGCUACAGGAAAAGCAGAACAGGAAAAUAAUUUUCCUACAAGCAGCAUUGCUUUCCUUGGUCAGAAUGAGAGGAAUGUAGCCAUUUUCACUGCUGGACAGGAAUCUCCCAUUAUUCUUCGAGAUGGAAAUGGUACCAUCUACCCAAUGGCCAAAGAUUGCAUGGGAGGAAUAAGGGAUCCCGAUUGGCUGGAUCUUCCACCUAUUAGUAGUCUUGGAAUGGGUGUGCAUUCUUUAAUAAAUCUUCCUGCCAAUUCAACAAUCAAAAAGAAAGCUGCUGUUAUCAUCAUGGCUGUAGAGAAACAAACCUUAAUGCAACACAUUCUGCGCUGUGACUAUGAGGCCUGUCGACAAUAUCUAAUGAAUCUUGAGCAAGCGGUUGUUUUAGAGCAGAAUCUACAGAUGCUACAGACAUUCAUCAGCCACAGAUGUGAUGGAAAUCGAAAUAUUUUGCAUGCUUGUGUAUCAGUUUGCUUUCCAACCAGCAAUAAAGAAACUAAAGAAGAAGAGGAAGCGGAGCGUUCUGAAAGAAAUACAUUUGCAGAAAGGCUUUCUGCUGUUGAGGCCAUUGCAAAUGCAAUAUCAGUUGUUUCAAGUAAUGGCCCAGGUAAUCGGGCUGGAUCAUCAAGUAGCCGAAGUUUGAGAUUACGGGAAAUGAUGAGACGUUCGUUGAGAGCAGCUGGUUUGGGUAGACAUGAAGCUGGAGCUUCAUCCAGUGACCACCAGGAUCCAGUUUCACCCCCCAUAGCUCCCCCUAGUUGGGUUCCUGACCCUCCUGCGAUGGAUCCUGAUGGUGACAUUGAUUUUAUCCUGGCCCCCGCUGUGGGAUCUCUUACCACAGCAGCAACCGGUACUGGUCAAGGACCAAGCACCUCCACUAUUCCAGGUCCUUCCACAGAGCCAUCUGUAGUAGAAUCCAAGGAUCGAAAGGCGAAUGCUCAUUUUAUAUUGAAAUUGUUAUGUGACAGUGUGGUUCUCCAGCCCUAUCUACGAGAACUUCUUUCUGCCAAGGAUGCAAGAGGGAUGACCCCAUUUAUGUCAGCUGUAAGUGGCCGAGCUUAUCCUGCUGCAAUUACCAUCUUAGAAACUGCUCAGAAAAUUGCAAAAGCUGAAAUAUCCUCAAGUGAAAAAGAGGAAGAUGUAUUCAUGGGAAUGGUUUGCCCAUCAGGUACCAACCCUGAUGACUCUCCUUUAUAUGUUUUAUGUUGUAAUGACACUUGCAGUUUUACAUGGACUGGAGCAGAGCACAUUAACCAGGAUAUUUUUGAGUGUCGAACUUGUGGCUUGCUGGAGUCACUUUGUUGUUGUACGGAAUGUGCAAGGGUUUGUCAUAAAGGUCAUGAUUGCAAACUCAAACGGACAUCACCAACAGCCUACUGUGAUUGUUGGGAGAAAUGUAAAUGUAAAACUCUUAUUGCUGGACAGAAAUCUGCUCGUCUUGAUCUACUUUAUCGCCUGCUCACUGCUACUAAUCUGGUUACUCUGCCAAACAGCAGGGGAGAGCACCUCUUACUAUUCUUAGUACAGACAGUCGCAAGGCAGACGGUGGAGCAUUGUCAAUACAGGCCACCUCGAAUCAGGGAAGAUCGUAACCGAAAAACAGCCAGUCCUGAAGAUUCAGAUAUGCCAGAUCAUGAUUUAGAGCCUCCAAGAUUUGCCCAGCUUGCAUUGGAGCGUGUUCUACAGGACUGGAAUGCCUUGAAAUCUAUGAUUAUGUUUGGGUCGCAGGAGAAUAAAGACCCUCUUAGUGCCAGCAGUAGAAUAGGCCAUCUUUUGCCAGAAGAGCAAGUAUACCUCAAUCAGCAAAGUGGCACAAUUCGGCUGGACUGUUUCACUCAUUGCCUUAUAGUUAAGUGUACAGCAGAUAUUUUGCUUUUAGAUACUCUACUAGGUACACUAGUGAAAGAACUCCAAAACAAAUAUACACCUGGACGUAGAGAAGAAGCUAUUGCUGUGACAAUGAGGUUUCUACGUUCAGUGGCAAGAGUUUUUGUUAUUCUGAGUGUGGAAAUGGCUUCAUCCAAAAAGAAAAACAACUUUAUUCCACAGCCAAUUGGAAAAUGCAAGCGUGUAUUCCAAGCAUUGCUACCUUAUGCUGUGGAAGAAUUGUGCAACGUAGCAGAGUCACUGAUUGUUCCUGUCAGAAUGGGGAUUGCUCGUCCAACUGCACCAUUUACCCUGGCUAGUACUAGCAUAGAUGCCAUGCAGGGCAGUGAAGAAUUAUUUUCAGUGGAACCACUACCACCACGACCAUCAUCUGAUCAGUCUAGCAGCUCCAGUCAGUCUCAGUCAUCCUACAUCAUCAGGAAUCCACAGCAGAGGCGCAUCAGCCAGUCACAGCCUGUUCGGGGCAGAGAUGAAGAACAGGAUGAUAUUGUUUCAGCAGAUGUGGAAGAGGUUGAGGUGGUGGAGGGUGUGGCUGGAGAAGAGGAUCAUCAUGAUGAACAGGAAGAACACGGGGAAGAAAAUGCUGAGGCAGAGGGACAACAUGAUGAGCAUGAUGAAGACGGGAGUGAUAUGGAGCUGGACUUGUUAGCAGCAGCUGAAACAGAAAGUGAUAGUGAAAGUAACCACAGCAACCAAGAUAAUGCUAGUGGGCGCAGAAGCGUUGUCACUGCAGCAACUGCUGGUUCAGAAGCAGGAGCAAGCAGUGUUCCUGCCUUCUUUUCUGAAGAUGAUUCUCAAUCGAAUGACUCAAGUGAUUCUGAUAGCAGUAGUAGUCAGAGUGACGACAUAGAACAGGAGACCUUUAUGCUCGAUGAGCCAUUAGAAAGAACCACAAAUAGCUCCCAUGCCAAUGGUGCUGCCCAAGCUCCCCGUUCAAUGCAGUGGGCUGUCCGCAACACCCAGCAUCAGCGAGCAGCCAGUACAGCCCCUUCCAGUACAUCUACACCAGCAGCAAGUUCAGCGGGUUUGAUUUAUAUUGAUCCUUCAAACUUACGCCGGAGUGGUACCAUCAGUACAAGUGCUGCAGCUGCAGCAGCUGCUUUGGAAGCUAGCAACGCCAGCAGUUACCUAACAUCUGCAAGCAGUUUAGCCAGGGCUUACAGCAUUGUCAUUAGACAAAUCUCGGACUUGAUGGGCCUUAUUCCUAAGUAUAAUCACCUAGUAUACUCUCAGAUUCCAGCAGCUGUGAAAUUGACUUACCAAGAUGCAGUAAACUUACAGAACUAUGUAGAAGAAAAGCUUAUUCCCACUUGGAACUGGAUGGUCAGUAUUAUGGAUUCUACUGAAGCUCAAUUACGUUAUGGUUCUGCAUUAGCAUCUGCUGGUGAUCCUGGACAUCCAAAUCAUCCUCUUCACGCUUCUCAGAAUUCAGCGAGAAGAGAGAGGAUGACUGCGCGAGAAGAAGCUAGCUUACGAACACUUGAAGGCAGACGACGUGCCACCUUGCUUAGCGCCCGUCAAGGAAUGAUGUCUGCACGAGGAGACUUCCUAAAUUAUGCUCUGUCUCUAAUGCGGUCUCAUAAUGAUGAGCAUUCCGAUGUUCUUCCAGUUUUGGAUGUUUGCUCAUUGAAGCAUGUGGCAUAUGUUUUUCAAGCACUUAUAUACUGGAUUAAGGCAAUGAAUCAGCAGACAACAUUGGAUACACCUCAACUAGAACGCAAAAGGACGCGAGAACUCUUGGAACUGGGUAUUGAUAAUGAAGAUUCAGAACAUGAAAAUGAUGAUGACACCAAUCAAAGUGCUACUUUGAAUGAUAAGGAUGAUGACUCUCUUCCUGCAGAAACUGGCCAAAACCAUCCAUUUUUCCGACGUUCAGACUCCAUGACAUUCCUUGGGUGUAUACCCCCAAAUCCAUUUGAAGUGCCUGUGGCUGAAGCCAUCCCCUUGGCUGAUCAGCCACAUCUGUUGCAGCCAAAUGCUAGAAAGGAGGAUCUUUUUGGCCGUCCAAGUCAGGGUCUUUAUUCUUCAUCUGCCAGUAGUGGGAAAUGUUUAAUGGAGGUUACAGUGGAUAGAAACUGCCUAGAGGUUCUUCCAACAAAAAUGUCUUAUGCUGCCAAUCUGAAAAAUGUAAUGAACAUGCAAAACCGGCAAAAAAAAGAAGGGGAAGAACAGCCCGUGCUGCCAGAAGAAACUGAGAGUUCAAAACCAGGGCCAUCUGCUCAUGAUCUUGCUGCACAAUUAAAAAGUAGCUUACUAGCAGAAAUAGGACUUACUGAAAGUGAAGGGCCACCUCUCACAUCUUUCAGGCCACAGUGUAGCUUUAUGGGAAUGGUUAUUUCCCAUGAUAUGCUGCUAGGACGUUGGCGCCUUUCUUUAGAACUGUUCGGCAGGGUAUUCAUGGAAGAUGUUGGAGCAGAACCUGGAUCAAUCCUAACUGAAUUGGGUGGUUUUGAGGUAAAAGAAUCAAAAUUCCGUAGAGAAAUGGAAAAACUGAGAAACCAGCAGUCAAGAGAUUUAUCACUAGAGGUAAAGGUUGAUCGGGAUCGAGAUCUUCUCAUUCAGCAGACUAUGAGGCAGCUUAACAAUCACUUUGGUCGAAGAUGUGCUACUACACCAAUGGCUGUACACAGAGUAAAAGUCACAUUUAAGGAUGAGCCAGGAGAGGGCAGUGGUGUAGCACGAAGUUUUUAUACAGCCAUUGCACAAGCAUUUUUAUCAAAUGAAAAAUUGCCAAAUCUAGAGUGUAUCCAAAAUGCCAACAAAGGCACCCACACAAGUUUAAUGCAGAGAUUAAGGAACCGAGGAGAGAGAGACCGGGAAAGGGAGAGAGAAAGGGAAAUGAGGAGGAGUAGUGGUUUGCGAGCAGGUUCUCGGAGGGACCGGGAUAGAGACUUUAGAAGACAGCUUUCCAUCGACACUAGGCCCUUUAGACCAGCCUCUGAAGGGAAUCCUAGCGAUGAUCCUGAGCCUUUGCCAGCACAUCGGCAGGCACUUGGAGAGAGGCUUUAUCCUCGUGUACAAGCAAUGCAACCAGCAUUUGCAAGUAAAAUCACUGGCAUGUUGUUGGAAUUAUCCCCAGCUCAGCUGCUUCUCCUUCUAGCAAGUGAGGAUUCUCUGAGAGCAAGAGUGGAUGAGGCCAUGGAACUCAUUAUUGCACAUGGACGGGAAAAUGGAGCUGAUAGUAUCCUGGAUCUUGGAUUAGUAGACUCCUCAGAAAAGGUACAGCAGGAAAACCGAAAGCGCCAUGGCUCUAGUCGAAGUGUAGUAGAUAUGGAUUUAGAUGAUACAGAUGAUGGUGAUGACAAUGCCCCUUUGUUUUACCAACCUGGGAAAAGAGGAUUUUACACUCCAAGGCCUGGCAAGAACACAGAAGCAAGGUUGAAUUGUUUCAGAAACAUUGGCAGGAUUCUUGGACUGUGUCUGUUACAGAAUGAACUAUGUCCUAUCACAUUGAAUAGACAUGUAAUUAAAGUAUUGCUUGGUAGAAAAGUCAAUUGGCAUGAUUUUGCUUUUUUUGAUCCUGUAAUGUAUGAGAGUUUGCGGCAACUAAUCCUCGCGUCUCAGAGUUCAGAUGCUGAUGCUGUUUUCUCAGCAAUGGAUUUGGCAUUUGCAAUUGACCUAUGUAAAGAAGAAGGUGGAGGACAGGUUGAACUCAUUCCUAAUGGUGUAAAUAUACCAGUCACUCCACAGAAUGUAUAUGAGUAUGUGCGGAAAUACGCGGAACACAGAAUGUUGGUAGUUGCAGAACAGCCCUUACAUGCAAUGAGGAAAGGUCUACUAGAUGUGCUUCCAAAAAAUUCAUUAGAAGAUUUAACGGCAGAAGAUUUUAGGCUUUUGGUAAAUGGCUGCGGUGAAGUCAAUGUGCAAAUGCUGAUCAGUUUUACCUCUUUCAAUGAUGAAUCAGGAGAAAAUGCUGAGAAGCUUCUGCAGUUCAAGCGUUGGUUCUGGUCAAUAGUAGAGAAGAUGAGCAUGACAGAACGACAAGAUCUUAAUUCUAGAUGAGCUUUCCCAUACAACUGUGCUUCAGGAAAUCUUAAGUUUGUUUAGGUUUCCUAGUCAUUCUAGGAAAUUGGAUAUACUUCAUUGUUGUGCAUUAUAAAAUGAUUAGAUUUAAAAAAAAGCUUUUCCUUAAGAGAGACAGACACUGAAGAAUGAUGCGUAUGUAUGUAUGUAUGAAGGGAUGGAUUGAUGAGGAAUGUUACAUGUUCAGCAAACUAUUUCAGGGAGGCAUAUCCUUGGGUUUACUUUUGGACAUCAAGCCCAUCACUGCCAGCCAGUGAAGAAGGAUUCCAGCCUAUGCCCUCAAUCACAAUAAGACCACCAGAUGACCAACAUCUUCCUACUGCAAAUACUUGCAUUUCUCGACUUUACGUCCCACUCUAUUCCUCUAAACAGAUUCUCAAACAGAAAUUGUUACUCGCCAUUAAGACCAAGAAUUUUGGUUUUGUGUAGAGUAUAAAAAGUGUGUAUUGCUGUGUAAUAUUACUAGCAAAUUUUGUAGAUUUUUUUCCAUUUGUCUAUAAAAGUUUAUGGAAGUUAAUGCUGUCAUACCCCCCUGGUGGUACCUUAAAGAGAUAAAAUGCAGACAUUCCUUGCUGAGUUUAUAGCUUAAAGGCCUAAGGAGCACUAGCAACAUUUGGCUAUAUUGGUUUGCUAGUCACCAACUUCUGGGUCUAACCCCAGCCAAAGAUGACAGCAGAACAACAUAAUUUACACUGUGAUUUAUCUUUUUGCUGAGGGGGAAAAAAUGUAAAUGUUCUGAAAAUUCACUGCUGCCUUUGUGGAAACUGUUUCAGCAAAGGUUCUUGUAUAGAGGGAAUAGGGAAUUUCAAAAUAAAAAAUUAAGUAUGUUCUGUGUUUUCAUUUUAACUUUUUUUAUGGUGUUUAAUUUGUGGUUGGCUGCAACUGUGUAUCAUGUAUAUGGAACUUGUAAAAAAGUUCUCGACAUUCAGAUCUUAAGAGAUGAAAUCACUUUUACCUAUAAAAACCACUUUUAUUGCGGUUUUACUGCAUUGAGCUCUAGGAUAUUAAAUGAUAUCACUAAUAUUUUGCAUGUAAUUUGCUCAUUUGAGUGAGGGCACUUUUUUUGUACAUAUGAUGGGGCCAAUGCACAAUACUUUUAUCACAAUCAACUUUUUCUUUGUAUCCCUAUUUCAAUGAGCAGUCAGUCUCAAGAGGUUACUGCACUUCAGUUCUAACUAGACAUUUGUACUAAGGUAUUUCAGUUAUGUAAACUCAGCCUGGGCACUUUCUGAUAACUGUAAAAUGUUUUAUAAGAUCAUGAUUAUUGAAGAUACAUUUUGGAAAAUUUUAAAUGUUCGUGAGCAGCUUAACUACUUUUGUAUCUAGCCUUUUUUAAGUAUCUUGUUACAUUUACUUUUUUAAAUAAAGAAAUUACAGAAGAAAUGUCAAGUAA